rnacentral:tRNA from 1 species
GCGGGAGUAGUUCAACUCUCAGUAGAACACAUUCCUUCCCGGAAUGAGAUAUAGGUGCAAAUCCUAUCUUCCGCUCCA